CUGAAGGCUCUUUUCAGAGCCACAGAGUCACAGAGAAGUUGGAAAU
rfam:Acanthisitta chloris contig11334, whole genome shotgun sequence.